AGUGAACGCUGGCGGUAGGCCUAACACAUGCAAGUCGAACGGCAGCACAGUAAGAGCUUGCUCUUACGGGUGGCGAGUGGCGGACGGGUGAGGAAUACAUCGGAAUCUACUUUUUCGGGGGGGAUAUCGUAGGGAAACUUACGCUAAUACCUCAUAUGACCUACGGGUGAAAGCAGGGGAUCUUCGGACCUUUCGCGAUUGAAUGAGCCGAUGUCGGAUUAGCUAGUUGGCGGGGUAAAGGCCCACCAAGGCGACGAUCCGUAGCUGGUCUGAGAGGAUGAUCAGCCACACUGGAACUGAGACACGGUCCAGACUCCUACGGGAGGCAGCAGUGGGGAAUAUUGGACAAAGGGCGCAAGCCUGACCCAGCCAUACCGCGUGGGUGAAGAAGGCCUUCGGGUUGUAAAGCUCUUUUGUUGGGAAAGAAAAGCAGCAGGUUAAUACCCCGCUGUUCUGACGGUACCCAAAGAAUAAGCACCGGCUAACUUCGUG
rnacentral:rRNA from 1 species